UACGUAGGGUGCAAGCGUUGUCCGGAAUUAUUGGGCGUAAAGAGCUCGUAGGCGGUCUGUCGCGUCUGCUGUGAAAACCUAGGGCUUAACUCUGGGCGUGCAGUGGGUACGGGCAGGCUAGAGUGCGGGUAGGGGGAGACUGGAAUUCCGUGGUGUAGCGGUGAAAUGCGCAGAUAUCAGGAGGAACACCGGUGGCGAAGGCGGGUCUCUGGGCCGUAACUGACGCUGAGGCGCGAAAGCGUGGGGAGCAAACAGG
rnacentral:rRNA from 1 species